AUAAAAACCAAAUAAUAACUAAAGAUAAAUCAACAUACAUAAAUGUAAUUCAUUUUUAAUUGAACGAAAAUAUUUUUGCACAUCCAUUGAAUUUGUUCGCUGGUUUUAUACCGGGAAUAACAGUAUAGAGUCGGUAUAGAUCGCGGGGAAGCUUUGUUCUUGCCGUCAAAUCUCUCUCUCUCUCUCUCGGUUCCCCAUAUAUAAUCUGAUCGUUCCUAUUCUUUCCAGAAUUUCCUCAUCUGUGUUGUAUUUCUCUCUCCCUCUCUAGAUCUUCUCUCUCUGUUUCACCUUUAUUAACUGUUCACUAUGGCUUCUUCCGAAGAGCGAAGUAAGAGACGAACCAG
rnacentral:lncRNA from 1 species